CCUGCCGCUAGAAGUGUUGGUGGUGUGACUGCUGUGUCACAUGUGCAUCAGGAGGUAUCAGAAAUGAGAGAGGGUACAUGUAGACUCCGUAUUCUGACUUGUGAACACCAGAAUGAUUAGUAGCCUAACAGU
ensembl:snoRNA